rnacentral:rRNA from 1 species
CAUGGACGAAAGUCUGACGGAGCAACGCCGCGUGAGUGAUGAAGGUUUUCGGAUCGUAAAACUCUGUUGUUGGGGAAGAACAAGUAUCGUUCGAAUAGGGCGGUACCUUGACGGUACCUAACCAGAAAGCCCCGGCUAACUACGUGCCAGCAGCCGCGGUAAUACGUAGGGGGCAAGCGUUGUCCGGAAUUAUUGGGCGUAAAGCGCUCGCAGGCGGCCUUUUAAGUCUGAUGUGAAAGCCCACGGCUCAACCGUGGAUGGUCAUUGGAAACUGGAGGGCUUGAGUACAGAAGAGGAGAGUGGAAUUCCACGUGUAGCGGUGAAAUGCGUAGAGAUGUGGAGGAACACCAGUGGCGAAGGCGACUCUCUGGUCUGUAACUGACGCUGAGGAGCGAAAGCGUGGGGAGCAAACAGGAUUAGAUACCCUGGUAGUCCACGCCGUAAACGAUGAGUGCUAGGUGUUAAGGGGUUUCCGCCCCUUAGUGCUGAAGUUAACGCAUUAAGCACUCCGCCUGGGGAGUACGGCCGCAAGGCUGAAACUCAAAAGAAUUGACGGGGGCCCGCACAAGCGGUGGAGCAUGUGGUUUAAUUCGACGCAAC